CCACAAUGAUGUUUUAGGGGCUCUGUUUUUUGUUGAGGCUUAAAAUACUGUACUAUUUGUUGAUAUAUUUCAGACCACUGCGCCCCCAACCCGUGCCAGAACGGCGGUACGUGCCAACCAUCAAUCUGGCCCCACGAGCCCCACCUGAUCACCUGCCAGUGUCCACCUGGGUUCGAAGGUCCUCUGUGUCAGUACACAGCUCUAGAUCCUUGUAGUCUGCCUCUCAGCACAGGUUCUUGCUCAAGCAGAGAGUCGAGAUGGUACUUUAACCAGCUCAGCGGACGAUGUCAGAAGUUCACAUAUCUUGGUUGCCAUGGCAAUGCAAAUAACUUUGCCUCCAUUUUUGAGUGCCAAGAGAGAUGCAUCAAAGGAUCAUGCUGUACCCGCACCCCAAAAAUUCGUAGUCAGAACAUUGGAUUUGACAGUCAAGGAUAUGAUAAGUAUGUCUGACUUUUUUUAUGAGUUCUUCUGUGUCAUUUUGUUGUUGGCUUAUCAUUGUGUUCACCUGUUUCAGUUGAAAUAUCUGCUGCAUGAAAAAAUAGAGGAUGCAAAACAAUUUUUGUGGUCUGUAAUUUUUCAAAGUCCUCUGGGUUUUAAAAAAAUAAUAAUUUAGGCGCAGUUUUCUUUGCUGUUUCUUCUUGAACACGUACAGUUUAUUAUAGUAGAACAGCCAAACCUGCCGUGAUGGUCACCUGUUCUUGUUAAAAAUAGAUGGGUAUUUUUUCACUAAUCAACACGCUGUAUGAUGAUACCAAUAGCUCUAGCUAUAUGUCCAAAUAUUGAUGAACGCCUGAUUUCACCGCAUCGUGACACAUAUUAAAAUGAUUCUGUCAUAGAGGAUGGCCUGUCUGAGAUGACCACUUUUCUUCUGAGCAUUGGGUGGUUAUCUUGUAGGCCUACAUUUGAUAAUACUUAUAUUUAAGAACUUGGUACCAGUAUGCUGAAGUAUGAAUAAAGUAGUUCAAUGUAAUAUACUGGUAUACUACAGUACGAAAGUAGUCCAAUAUAAUAUUUUGGUAAGCUAAAAUACGGAAAUAGUCCUACAUGAUAUUUUGGUAAUCAAAAGAAAUGGAAGUUGUGCUACACAAUAUUUUGGUAAUCAAAAGUAUCUCAAAAUUCAUCAUUACUUUCCAUUAGCUUUGAGUUUGUCUCAUUCUGACUUGUUUGCUUGUCCCUUCUCAGUUGUGUUCAAUUGUCUCGUGAUACAGGUAUGGAUUCAAUCAAGAGGGACUGAACAGAUUUGGGGACAGGAGAAAUGUUGACAACAGCUUCCCACUCAGUACCCGUCGCUUUGACGAGUCCGGUCUGGACUGGCAAGGUUAUAACAGAGAGGGCUAUGGUGAAGAUGGCUUGAGCAGAGCUGGCUUUGACAAGUACGGCUUUGAUGUGGACGGCUUCAACAUCAGUGGGUACAGCCGUAGUGGAGAGUUUGACGGGAUCAUUGACUAUGAUGAAGAAGGAUAUGAUCCUGAGGGAUUUAACAGGUAAUUCUUCCUUCUUUGUAUU